CCUACGGGUGGCAGCAGUGGGGAAUAUUGCACAAUGGGCGAAACCCUGAUGCAGCAACGCCGCGUGAAUGAUGAAGUAUUUCGGUAUGUAAAGCUCUAUCAGCAGGGAAGAAGAAAGACGGUACCUGACUACUAAGCCCCGACUAACUACGUGCCAGCAGCCGCGGUAAUACGUAGGGGGCAAGCGUUAUCCGGAUUUACUGGGGGUAAAGGGAGCGUAGACGGCUGUGCAAGUCUGAAGGGAAAGCCCGUGGCUCAACCGCGGAAUUGCUUUGGAGACUGGAUAGCUUGAGUACUGGAGAGGUAGGCGGAAUUCGUAGUGUAGCGGUGAAAUGCGUAGAUAUUAGGAAGAACACCAGUGGCGAAGGCAGCCUGCUGGACAGAAACUGACGUUGAGGCUCGAAAGCGUGGGGAGCAAACAGGAUUAGAUACCCGGGUAGUC
rnacentral:rRNA from 1 species